GGUUGUUUUGGUAACUCACCUGGAUUACUCCAGCUUUGCUCUGGUUGGCUGCUGGGAAAACUUGAAGCAGCAAAAAAACUCACUUCAGAGAAAACAGAAGAAAAAGCCAGAAGUGAAGAGAUGCAGACCCAGAUAAUAGUCAUGACUGGGGUGUGCUGACUCUGUCAUCGCCAGAGAGUAAAGGAAAGGGAAGAAGGAAGUACAGAGUGCAGGUCAGACUAAGUCAUCUUAUGCUGCAAGAGAAUGACCCAGGAGAGAAAAGAUGUAGCUGAAAACCUCAAUUGAGAGGGACUUUGAAGAAGUUUACUGGAAAGUAAACUAGAUUUGAUCUAUAAUGGUGAUACUUUAAGCCUAUAUAACUCAGUGUUGUAAUAUUACAAUAUCUGAAUUUCAAACAAACAAAACAAAAUGUACAACUGUUGAUUUUUCUUCAGUUUUUUUUUAUCCAGACUUGGCAAUUUUAAAAUAAGUUCACCUCACAGCAUCACAAAAUAUCACAGCUUGGAAAUCCUUAUAGAGCAAGAUCUUUGUGAGUCACUGUACCAGAUUUUUUUCUUAAAGUACAUACAAUGUCUUUUCAGUAUUUUGGGGGAGUGCAAUGUAAUCAAAUUGUAAUUUCUAGAACAUAUAUAAUGUCUAGAACAUAUAUGUAAUUUUCAUGCAGCACUUUUACAAAAUGCUUGUUCAUUUUCAUUACCAAAAAGUACCUAAAAAUACAUUUUCAUCUACAAAGUACUACAAA